AUCUCGGUCGCUGAGUGGUAAAGCGCUUGGCUUGCGAUCCGAGUGAUCCUAGGUUUAAAUCCUGGUGAAGAUU
rnacentral:tRNA from 1 species